GGCGUAAAGGGCUCGCAGGCGGUUUCUUAAGUCUGAUGUGAAAGCCCCCGGCUCAACCGGGGAGGGUCAUUGGAAACUGGGAAACUUGAGUGCAGAAGAGGAGAGUGGAAUUCCACGUGUAGCGGUGAAAUGCGUAGAGAUGUGGAGGAACACCAGUGGCGAAGGCGACUCUCUGGUCUGUAACUGACGCUGAGGAGCGAAAGCGUGGGGAGCGAACAGGAUUAGAUACCCUGGUAGUCCACGCCGUAAACGAUGAGUGCUAAGUGUUAGGGGGUUUCCGCCCCUUAGUGCUGCAGCUAACGCAUUAAGCACUCCGCCUGGGGAGUACGGUCGCAAGACUGAAACUCAAAGGAAUUGACGGGGGCCCGCACAAGCGGUGGAGCAUGUGGUUUAAUUCGAAGCAACGCGAAGAACCUUACCAGGUCUUGACAUCCUCUGACAACCCUAGAGAUAGGGCUUUCCCUUCGGGGACAGAGUGACAGGUGGUGCAUGGUUGUCGUCAGCUCGUGUCGUGAGAUGUUGGGUUAAGUCCCGCAACGAGCGCAACCCUUGAUCUUAGUUGCCAGCAUUCAGUUGGGCACUCUAAGGUGACUGCCGGUGACAAACCGGAGGAAGGUGGGGAUGACGUCAAAUCAUCAUGCCCCUUAUGACCUGGGCUACACACGUGCUACAAUGGACAGAACAAAGGGCUGCAAGACCGCAAGGUUUAGCCAAUCCCAUAAAUCUGUUCUCAGUUCGGAUCGCAGUCUGCAACUCGACUGCGUGAAGCUGGAAUCGCUAGUAAUCGCGGAUCAGCAUGCCGCGGUGAAUACGUUC
rnacentral:rRNA from 1 species